rnacentral:rRNA from 1 species
UUGGCCCUACGGGAGGCAGCAGUGAGGAAUAUUGGUCAAUGGGCGGGAGCCUGAACCAGCCGAGUCGCGUGAGGGAAGACGGUCCUAUGGAUUGUAAACCUCUUUAGGCGGGGAGCAAUGCCGGGCACGUGUGCCCGGAGGGAGAGUACCCGCAGAAUAAGCAUCGGCUAACUCCGUGCCAGCAGCCGCGGUAAUACGGAGGAUGCGAGCGUUAUCCGGAUUUAUUGGGUUUAAAGGGUGCGUAGGCGGAUUUUUAAGUCAGCGGUACACUGUCCGGGCUCAACCCGCGCCGGACGUUGAAACUG